GACGGAGGAUGCAAGUGUUGUCCGGAAUCACUGGGCGUAAAGCGUCUGUAGGUGGUUCGAAAAGUCCACUGUUAAAAAUUGAGGCUUAACUUCAAAGAUGCCGUGGAAACUUUCAAACUAGAGUAUGGUAGGGGUAGAGGGAAUUUCCAGUGGAGCGGUGAAAUGCGUAGAUAUUGGAAAGACCACCGAUGGCGAAGGCGGCCCUCUGGGCCGGGCCUGACGCUGAGACGCGAGGGCGUGGGGAGCAAACAGG
rnacentral:rRNA from 1 species